CUGACUGCAUUCACUGCGGCAGCACCUUGAGAAGGAAACAGCUGAGAAACAUCCUUCUCCACCAAAGCAGGGUUUUUACAUCUGGUUGGCAGCAGCAGUGAAGAUGGCAGGUCUGUGCUGGAUGGCUGUGACGCUGGGCCUGUUGCUGUCUGUUGGAAACAGCUCGGCUGAUUUUGACGGACUAAGCCUGAAGAAACUUAGAAACAUCGUUGAUGAGAUCUGGAAUAAGUGAGUCAGCUUGUAUUAAAUACCAGACAGGUUGAUCGACUUCAUCCUUCUUUCCUCUAAACUAAACCCGGCCAACGUUCCUGCGGUUCUGUUCUCUCCCGUUGUAUCUAAGACCUGCAGACACUGUGGACACCUUUAAAGGGGACAUGUGUUCAUCUUCAGGUUCAUACAUGUUUCUACUGGAACAUGUUUACAUGCAUUCAUGUUGAAGAAACACAUUGUCUGUCUUAUACUGUCUGUCUUAAUGGACCUGUAGUCCCCUCUGUCUGAAACGCUCCAUGUUAGCUCCUGUGUCUUUAAACUGAUCUGAUUGGCUCGUUGGAUCUGAACAAGGCCGCCCACAAAAACUGCUGCUCGUCUUAUUUCAUUGUGGGUCGGUGGCACUCUAGAGUCUUUACACGUCUCCUUUACCAAGCAGGUCGUUUAAACUUGAUUUAGUUUUAGUCUCUUAUUUAAUGUGUAAUAUUUUUAUCUUUUAACGUCUGUUGUCUUGUGUUUUAUUUGCUUUUCUCUCUUUAAUUGUGAAGAACAUUGUGAUCUCUGCACCUGAGAAGUGCUGUAUGAAUUAAAUUACUUACUUUUAUUUCUGUUAUUUCAUUCUGUUGUUAUUUAGUGCAACACCUGCCCUUGGAUUCAUUAUUUCUAAAGAUAAAAGAAUUUGAGUGAAACAAGUCUGAUAUAUUUAAUAUCUGCUUAAUGUUCACAUUUAAAUAAAAAUAUAAUUCAUAAAAACAAAAUAAGCUCUAAACAUGACAAACUACAGUCCAGUUUCCUUUGGAAUUCUGUUUCAUUUAAUAAAGAAUGAGCAGUAAGAGGAGCUGCUCAUCUUUUUGCUUUUAACGUUUUCAUGCUGAAUUGGAAUAAAUUCAUACUGAAACCAUUAUAAUAUAUAUUAUAAGGUGCUGUUGCUUGUUGAUCGUCUCAUAUUCAACGUGUUUCUGUCAUUUCUAUGAUCAGUGCAUCCUUCCAUCUGUCUGACUUCCUGAACUUCUGUUCUGUAUCAAACAAUCAAACAUGCCAACAUGCAUCCCAAGGAUGCACACUACAGAGUUAUGUUAUAUUUAUUAUUGUGCUUAACUUCAGUAUCACCCUUCUAUGCAACUGUCCUACUUGUACUCCACACUACAUCUCAGAGGUUGAUAUCGUACUUUUGACUCCACUACAUUUGUCUGACAGCUUUAAUUACCUUUCAGAUUUCAUCCCCUUCCUCUCAAUUGAAAUCUCCAAAUGUUGUGAUUUUAAACGUUUGUGUGGGUGAAGUGUACCUUUAUGGGUCGAGGAAAUUCUCCUAUUUUAAGAUAAACGAACUGUUGGAUUUGCUGGAAAAUGCAUCGUCACAAAGCUGAAAACAGAAACGGGAUCUUUCCUCUGUUUCUUGCUGUGGUGCUCAACCUGCGAUUAAAGAAACAUUUUCGCAAAUUGUAGUUUAUCGCAACAUUAAAUCGACACAUUUCAUGUUUAUUUUUACUAUAUUAAUGUGCAGUGGUGGUAAUUCAUCAAAUCAUUCUUUCUUCUAAUAUUUUAACUCUUUGUGCAGUAGUGGAAUUAUUAAUCAAAUCAUUAUUUUCAUUUGAAUAAUUAUCCUCUAUAUAUGUACAAUGGUGGUAAUUGUCCAUCAGAUUAUUAUUUUUCAAUAUUUUAUUUCUAAAGGCCCCUUGCAUCAUUCUGAACUCUAAAACAAAUAACUGUCACAUUUUCUCCAGACCCUGUUAUACAUGAUAUAUUAUCUCCGUAUAGGAAGAGCCCGUAGGCUGCAGGCUUGAGGCAAUAAAGAAAUGUGAAAUGAAAUAACCGUGUUGGGGUACAGCUGUGCAAUGUUCGUUAUUUAGUCUUUUUCGAGUUGGGUUUGCUCAGGCAGGUGGAAAACAAAUCCAUUCAGAGUUUUUGAACUAUGGUGCUUGGUGCUUGGUCAUUAUCUGAAAAGUAUUAAGAACUAGAAAAAUCAAGAUCAAUUCUGCCAUUUUGCUCUGGCGCAGAUAAAACACACUUUAGUUUGGAAACUGGGAAUCCUUUCAGUAUCACUGCCACUGCAGGCAUUAAGAGUUUCACAUGUCUGAGAGGGAAGUUAUUGAAUCUAUUAAAACACAUUUUUAUCAAGCAUGCGGUGCGGAACGUGUUUGAGUGUUUACUUGAAAUAAAACAUGUAGAGAAGCUUGUCUAGUGAGAACUAUGCAUCUCCAAAAUGUCAACUUUUCACAAAAUUAGAAAAAUGUGGCUUCAGUAAAUAUUGUUAUGUUUUAUGUUUACUAGAACUCUUAAAAUCAGAGAGCAGCGCU